rnacentral:rRNA from 1 species
AGAUUAAGUUAUUAAGGGCGCACGGUGGAUGCCUUGGCACUAGAAGCCGAUGAAGGACGUUACUAACGACGAUAUGCUUUGGGGAGCUGUAAGUAAGCUUUGAUCCAGAGAUUUCCGAAUGGGGAAACCCAGCAUGAGUUAUGUCAUGUUAUCGAUAUGUGAAUACAUAGCAUAUCAGAAGGCACACCCGGAGAACUGAAACAUCUUAGUACCCGGAGGAAGAGAAAGAAAAUUCGAUUCCCUUAGUAGCGGCGAGCGAAACGGGAAGAGCCCAAACCAACAAGCUUGCUUGUUGGGGUUGUAGGACACUCUAUACGGAGUUACAAAGGACGACAUUAGACGAAUCAUCUGGAAAGAUGAAUCAAAGAAGGUAAUAAUCCUGUAGUCGAAAAUGUUGUCUCUCUUGAGUGGAUCCUGAGUACGACGGAGCACGUGAAAUUCCGUCGGAAUCUGGGAGGACCAUCUCCUAAGGCUAAAUACUCUCUAGUGACCGAUAGUGAACCAGUACCGUGAGGGAAAGGUGAAAAGCACC